rnacentral:tRNA from 1 species
CAAUUGAUAUCUUAAAAUAAAGAAAUGAUCUUUUAAAUCAUCUAUAGUAACAUUAUUACUUCAAUUGA